rnacentral:misc_RNA from 1 species
UCCUUCAGUGCCCAAUACUCACUACCAUAUAACAUAGUCAGUUGUAUGGCGGUACGGUAAAAUUUUCCUUUUAACUUAUUGGGAAUCUUGCGAUCAAAUAAAACUCUCGUGGCACAUCUCUACUUCAACCAUCCAAUUUUAAUCCUAUGACUAACAUCUGUCUUACAUCCCCCAUCUACUUAACUUUCAUAACAGAAUGGUGAAUAAAAUUUAGUUUGAAGUGCAUUCCUGUAUUUCCUAAGGAUAUGAAUGUAUUUUACAAGAAAUUUGCUAUAAAACCAACACCAAGAAUGGUGCUGAUAUAAAAUGACAAAUUUCAUGUCUUUGAUAAUAAAAGUUUGCAGCACUAUUAUUUAACAAAAGCCUGAAAAAGCAAAAAAAAUGUCAUUUCUAACACACGUAAAACCCAUUUAGGCAUCUAAUUUCAAUUGGAAGGGAACUUCAGUAACAUGAAUUUGGACAGUUGGAAAUGAAAACCCAUGCAUUCACGGGUAUGCAACUAAGAUCUAAGAUGGUGUUUCCUUGCUUCAAUAGAGCUCAAACACUGUAAAGGCAAUGUAAAUCUAAGAUGACCAUUCAAUAUGGUUUUGUUGAAAAUGCAAAUUACCAUGGAAAUCUAGGAAAAUGCAACAUAUAGCAUAG